rnacentral:rRNA from 1 species
CACGUAGGGCGCAAGCGUUGUCCGGAAUUAUUGGGCGUAAAGAGCUCGUAGGCGGUUUGUCGCGUCUGCUGUGAAAGACCGGGGCUCAACUCCGGUUCUGCAGUGGGUACGGGCAGACUAGAGUGCAGUAGGGGAGACUGGAAUUCCUGGUGUAGCGGUGAAAUGCGCAGAUACCAGGAGGAACACCGAUGGCGAAGGCAGGUCUCUGGGCUGUAACUGACGCUGAGGAGCGAAAGCAUGGGGAGCGAACAGG